rnacentral:rRNA from 1 species
AAGCUGUUGCGGUUAAAAAGCUCGUAGUUGGAUAUCAGUGCGUGUCCGGUCCGGUAUGCCUGGCGGCGGCGCUCACGCGUCACUGCUGGGCUCCCAAAUAUCGGCUGGCCGCAUUCAAUCGUGCCGGAUCCGCUGGCGGGCCGUUCUUCGGAGGGGCCUGCUGGCGACCGGCGACGUUACCUUGAACAAAUUAGAGUGCUCAAAGCAGGCUCUGAAUGCCUGUAUACAUAUUCAUGGAAUUGGAGAAUACGUCCCUGGCUCGAUUUGGUUGGUUUUGAGAGUCGAAGGGAAAUGAUUAAUAGGGACUGACGGAGGCAUUCGUAUUCCGACGCGAGGGGUGAAAUCCUGUGACCGUUGGACGACGAACUACUGCGAAAGCAUUUGCCGAGAAUGUUUUCAUUAGUCAAGAACGAAAGUUAGAGGUUCGAAGGCGAUCAGAUACCGCCCUAGUUCUAACCGUAAACGAUGUCGACCAGCAAUCCGCAACGGUCACUACACGGACUGUGCGGGCAGCUUCCCCGGGGAAACCAGAGUGUCUGGACUCCGGGGGAAGUAUGGUUGCAAAGCUGAAACUUAAAGG